rnacentral:rRNA from 1 species
AGCAGCCGCGGUAAUUCCAGCUCCAAUAGCGUAUAUUAAAGUUGUUGCAGUUAAAAAGCUCGUAGUUGAAUUUCGGGAUCAAUAUAUCGGUCGUACCUUGGUACGUACUGGUAUCAUUGGUUUCUCCUUUCUGACGAACCAUGAUGUCAUUAAUUUGGUGUUAUGGGAAGUUAGGACUGUUACUUUGAAAAAAUUGAGUGUUUAAAGCAGGCAUUAGCUUGAAUACAUUAGCAUGGAAUAAUGAAAUAGGACGUUUGACCCUAUUUUGUGGUUUUUAGGGUCGACGUAAUGAUUAAUAGGGAUAGUUGGGGGCAUUAGUAUUCAAUUGUCAGAGGUGAAAUUCUUGGGUUUAUUGAAGACUAACUACUGCGAAAGCAUUUGCCAAGGAUGUUUCAUUAAUCAAGAACGAAGUUAGGGAUCGAAGACGAUCAGAUACCGUCGUAGUCUUAACCAUAAAACUAUGCCGACUAGGGAUCGGAUGAUGUUAAUUUUAUAAUGACUCAUUCGGCGCCUUACGGGAAACCCAAGUGUUUAGGGUUCGU